AUGUCAGUCAAUUGCAUUGAGUAUGUAUUUAAUUUUUAUUUCUUUUUACCGAUCUAUUUGUUUCAGAAAAAUGCCCUUAAAGGGAAGGUUGAAAAAACCGGAGUCGUUGCCACUGCGAGAGGGUUUAUUAGAAAAAUAUUAGACCCUUCACUCUUUGUGCAUUUCAACUGGAAAGGACAAGGAGACCCAAAUAAAAGUGCUUUCACGGAUAUGAAAUUCUAUGAAAUGCAAAAAAGUAUCGUUACUGAAUUGUGGGGCGAUAGUCAUGCCGUUUUAUCAAAACUUGACAAGACUUGCAGCACAUUUUUGGUGCAAGAGGCGGGCAAGUUAAAGAGGUGAGUUCUUCUCAACAAGAUAUGAUCAUUGAAUGAUGAGCUAUUUCAACAAUUUUCUUUUAUUCUCUCUUUUUUUUUUUUUUUUGGCUUGAGAAUGCUUAAAAAGAGACUACUGGACACGCACCGUCUCUUGUCGAAAAUCAAGAUUUUUACUCCUUGAUUAUUUACAUCACCACUCACUAUUUCUCCUGAGUCUUCACCGAAAAUUGACCUGCUAGAAGCUGGCAUUGAAAUUAGUGCUCACACUUGGAUGUAAUUGUAACGUCUUUCCUCAGCUGUGACAGUCAGGGAUUAAUUUAUUUCUUGUUUUUCAGGCGCAAUCAGGAAAUUCCAGAUUCUGCUGAGAUGGAUGAUUCCAGUUCCGAAGAGGAAAAUUCGGAAAAUGAAUCAGCAACUGAAGAUGAUGCCUCUCUCUCCCACUGAUAGUAUUUGUGAGAAUUUUCCUUUUUUUAGUUACCAUGUUACUUAUGCAUAUCUCCAAAAAUUUAUUUUCCUUGGUCAUUAUUCUUUGUCUGUAUUGUUCUUAUUUAAGUAUGUCUUGAUACUUAAUUGUCAGUAGCCAAAACUCUGAAUAUUAUUUUCACUGGCUGUGUGCAACAUUUUUUACACAACUACCAAGAUUUCGACCUUAGUCAAAUUUCGGUUAAUUUGUUCAACUCAAAGUGUUAAAAACACUUUAUAAAUAACUUAAGUUCAUUGUGUUUAUGUUCGAAAGUGUCAUAAAGUCUCUUGCAACUGUCAUGGAGUUCAUUAAAACAAUAAGCCUAAUGAUGCAAUGAACAUUAGAGGGGCUUGGAGGACAAGGCGCAUAAGUGCAUUGUUUGAAAAAAUUGAGAUAUUAAUGUUUCAUCCUAAAGUAGUUCUAAAAUAUAUUCUGUGACAAAUUCACCACAAAAAUUCAAUUCAAAGCAUCAAAAAGUGAGUUCCACUGUUUUUUUCUGAAAGUUUUUUUCUGGUGUGGGCUGUGUGUAAUUUUAAAACUUUAAAUGCAUAUUUCUUGAAAGAGCAAAACCCGCACUUUUGCGCCUUGUCCUCCAAGCUCCUCAUUUAACAAAUUAGCUUUUUGCUGCAAUAAAUAUUUAGCCUGUGAUUUUUUGUAAGGUAUUUAUCUGACAUUAGUCAUUUGUCAGCAAACUAUUUCGUUUGAAAUAUUUGUACUUGUGCUUCUAGUUUUUUCUCUCAUACUCAUUACUAUUUUCAACUAUUCAUUCAAUACGGUGGCCAAAUAUUUCUUGAAAUUAUUUGUUUUUGUGCCUUUAGUUUUUUCUCUCAUACUCAUUAAUAUUUUCCAAGUGCUCUAAAUAUUGUUUGUGUAAGUUGUCAAAUGAAAGUGUUCUAUUUUAUCCAUUCUUGAAAAGUUUUCUCUAAGAUGAGCUUUUCACAUUCAUUUUUGGAAAUGUAAUGUAGUCUCUAAUUUCUUUUCUGAAUGACAAGUGGACGUCUUCAACAAUGUGUUCCACUGAAUGUUGCGUUGUUGAUUUUGCACAAGAGAUCUCUUAGUCUUAUAUCUCAUUAUUGUUUAAUUCACAUUGUUUUGUUUCCUUAAAGUGUCCAAAUAAUACCUUGAAGGUUUACUCUUAACGGGUUUAAAUAAGACUUGUUUUUUCUAUGACUUUUUUGUUUCUGCAAAGUGUCUAAAUAUUUCCGUGUAAUACCUUGAAGGUUUACUCGACAGGUUUAAGUAAGACUCAUUUUUUCUAUGACUUUUUUUGUUUCCUCAAAGUGUCCAAAAUCCAUGUAAUACCUUGAAGGUUUACUCAAUGGGUUUAAAUAAGACUUGUUUUUUCUAUGACUUUAUUAAUAUAAAAAGUUUUGUUCCUUCAUAUUUCUUUGUUCUUAUAAAUUUGUAUUUUUCUCCUGUAAUUGUUUGAAACCGUUUCAAAGUUUUCUUCAGCAUUUCUAAUGUAAAGCUUUUAAGCAUAUAUAUACAUUUUUUAAAUUCAUCCAAACCUUAAAGGAACCUAAAAAAACAUAGUAUGUGGGCUUUCAAAUAAAUUUGAAUGUAUAGUUAUUUUUUUCUUGGAAAUGGAAGAAGAAAAUUUUGAAGUGUCUCCAUGGAAUUUUCUUGUUAUUGGACAUGAAUUUUCGUCCUUCACACAAAUCGACUUGACUGGAUUGCAACAUUUCUGUUACCAGGUCAACACUUCACUCUCAAUUUAUGAAAAGUUUGGUAUUUUAGCCUGAAAAUAACAGUUUUCGUCAAGAAAGAUAAAUUCAUUUUUCUAGCAAAAAUGUGUAAAAAUGAUACGUUGACAGAGUUACUGAAAUGUCUCAGUCCAGAUGUGUUGCUUUAUGUGGGGGAUGGUGACUUACGCCUAAUAAAAAAUAUAAGACAGGGUGUCUACAGGUCUGGAAAACCGGGAAAAUUCAGAGAAUUUUAUCAAAAAGACCGGAAAAGUUUGGAAAGAGUGCAUUCACACAACCUACCACCAGGCUGCGGAACUGGCUUUGUUAUGAGCAUGUAUUAGUUUCGUGAAUAUAAGUUUCAAGUAGGAUUUGGAAUUUUAGACGAUUGAGUGAUAGAUACUGAAGGGGAAAAGGUUCACAUGCUUUUAUCAGUUACGGUGAAACUAAUUUAAAAAAUAGUCUACAUACAAAAAAAUUGUUCAUUUUCAGCACUACACGUCAAAUUGUCGAUGUACAAAAUCAGGGAAUUUUGAUCAAUAUGGUCAGGGAAAAUCUGGAAAAGUCAGGGAAAUUUUUCUUCCCAAAUCUGUAGACACUCCGUAUGAAUGCACCAUUAAUACUGAAUAAAAAUAUUUUUGAGACUUGCAC
rnacentral:lncRNA from 1 species